UACGUAGGUGGCAAGCGUUGUCCGGAUUUAUUGGGCGUAAAGAGCGUGUAGGCGGCCAGAUAGGUCUGCUGUGAAAACUCGAGGCUCAACCUCGAGCUGUCGGCGGAAACCAUUUGGCUAGAGUCCGGAAGAGGAGAGUGGAAUUCCUGGUGUAGCGGUGAAAUGCGCAGAUAUCAGGAAGAACACCUAUGGCGAAGGCAGCUCUCUGGGCCGAUACUGACGCUGAGGAGCGAAAGCGUGGGGAGCGAACAGG
rnacentral:rRNA from 1 species